rnacentral:rRNA from 1 species
UACGAGGGGAGCGGGCGUUGUUCGGAAUCACUGGGCGUAAAGCGUGCGUAGGCGGUUUUGUAAGUCGGAAGUGAAAGCCUGGGGCUCAACCUCAGAAUUGCUUUUGAGACUGCAAAGCUAGAGUAUUGGAGAGGUUAGUGGAAUUCCGAGUGUAGAGGUGAAAUGCGCAGAUAUGCGGAGGAACACCAGUGGCGAAGGCGACUAACUGGACAAUUACUGACGCUGAGGCACGAAAGCGUGGGGAUCAAACAGG